rnacentral:rRNA from 1 species
GACAGAGGAGCCAAGCGUUGUCCGGAUUGACUGGGCGUAAAGCGCACGCAGGCGGCUGUGCACGUGGGGUGUGAAAGCUGGCGGCUUAACUGCCAGACGCCACCUCAUACGGCACGGCUCGAGCCCGUGAGAGGUCCACGGAAUUGCCGGUGUAGUGGUGAAAUGCGUAGAGAUCGGCAGGAACACCGGUGGUGUAGACGGCUUUCUGGACCGUAACUGACGCUGAGACACGAAAGCGUGGGUAGCAAACAGG